rnacentral:tRNA from 1 species
GCUAUUUUGACAGAUAAGUGUAUUAAAUUUAGAAUUUAAUUAUAUGAUAGGAUAUCAUAAAUAGCA